rnacentral:rRNA from 1 species
AACGAACGCUGGCGGCAGGCCUAACACAUGCAAGUCGAGCGAGGUAGCAAUACCUAGCGGCGGACGGGUUAGUAACGCGUGGGAACGUGCCCAAAGGUACGGAAUAGCCUCGGGAAACUGAGAGUAAUACCGUAUGUGCCCUUCGGGGGAAAGAUUUAUCGCCUUUGGAUCGGCCCGCGUUGGAUUAGGUAGUUGGUGGGGUAAUGGCCUACCAAGCCGACGAUCCAUAGCUGGUUUGAGAGGAUGAUCAGCAACACUGGGACUGAGACACGGCCCAGACUCCUACGGGAGGCAGCAGUGGGGAAUCUUAGACAAUGGGGGAAACCCUGAUCUAGCCAUGCCGCGUGAGCGAUGAAGGCCUUAGGGUUGUAAAGCUCUUUCAGCUGGGAAGAUAAUGACGGUACCAGCAGAAGAAGCCCCCGGCUAACUCCGUGCCAGCAGCCGCGGUAAU